rnacentral:rRNA from 1 species
AGCGGCGGAUGGGUGAGUAACACGUGGGGAACCUGCCCCUAAGUCUGGGAUACCAUUUGGAAACAGGUGCUAAUACCGGAUAAUAAAGCAGAUCGCAUGAUCAGCUUUUGAAAGGCGGCGUAAGCUGUCGCUAAGGGAUGGCCCCGCGGUGCAUUAGCUAGUUGGUAAGGUAACGGCUUACCAAGGCGACGAUGCAUAGCCGAGUUGAGAGACUGAUCGGCCACAUUGGGACUGAGACACGGCCCAAACUCCUACGGGAGGCAGCAGUAGGGAAUCUUCCACAAUGGACGCAAGUCUGAUGGAGCAACGCCGCGUGAGUGAAGAAGGUUUUCGGAUCGUAAAGCUCUGUUGUUGGUGAAGAAGGAUAGAGGGAGUAACUGGCCUUUAUUUGACGGUAAUCAACCAGAAAGUCACGGCUAACUACGUGCCAGCAGCCGCGGUAAUACGUAGGUGGCAAGCGUUGUCCGGAUUUAUUGGGCGUAAAGCGAGCGCAGGCGGAAAAAUAAGUCUAAUGUGAAAGCCCUCGGGCUUAACCGAGGGAACUGCAUCGGGAAACUGUUUUUCUUUGAGUGCAGAAGAGGAGAGUGGGAACUCCCAUGUGUAGCGGUGGAAAUGCGUAAGAUAUUAUGGGAAGAACACCCAGUGGGCGAAGGCGGGCUCUUCUGGUUCUGCAACUUGACGCUGAGGCUCCAAAAGCCUGGGUAGCGAACAAGGAAUUAAAAUACCCCUGGUAGGUCCUUGCUCGUAAAACGAUUGAGUGCUAAGUGU